rnacentral:lncRNA from 1 species
CGUGUCACAAUCGCUACGAGAUUAAUAAACGUCAGGAUUGGAAUAAAUUUGUGCACUACUUGAAGAAUUAUCACCAUGGUCACGGUCAGCCUCCCAUGUCUGUGCGUCGGUGCAGUGGGUCCCAUGUGCUUGGGUUUCUCAAGUACCUGGACCAGUUCGGUGCAACCAAAGUUCAUAAGAUGAGCUGCGAGUAUUAUGGGCAAGCUUAUUCCUCGGUCGCAUGUUCUUGUCCGCUCAAGGAGGCAUGGAGUAGCCUCCAAAGCGUUGUCGGACGCCUCCGUGUCGCCUUUGAGGAGUAUGGGGGCUCACCGCUGACAAAUCCGUUUGGUUCAUCGGUGGUGUGGUUGUAUCUAGAGGAGGUUAAAGUUUCUCAGGCUAAAGCUCGGGGUCUAAGUUAUAAAUGCUGAUCGAAAUGAAAGAAAAGAAUAUGGCUACAUAAUUAAUUUAAGCCACGUGAUGAAAUUGAAAACCUUAAAAAUGAAAUGAGGUUUCGUCAAAUCAAAAUCUUUCAUGAUUUUCGAUAGAAUCACCCCCUCGCUCAGGCCCCGAGAGCUCCAAGAAUAUUGUUUGUUACUUUUUCUUCACAAAUUCGAGAAUGGGCAAAUCGCAUGAGAUCUCGGUACAAAUUGUACAACCCGCAUCUUUGUGCAAGUACAAUGACAAGGUCCGAUCAAAAUUUCCUCUCAGAAGAUGAAUAGUUCCCUUUCGAAGCAUGGAAUGGACCCUAGAUGAGAGAUCGAGUUCAUAAUUUAUAUUUAUAUUUUAAUAUUUUUUGGCAACUCAGCUGCAAAUAUUAAACUUGAUGCAGCUUACCGGAUCUAGGAACUACUUGCGCAGAUUCGGUAGUACUCUCAAACAGGGGCACUUACCAAUAAAGAAUAUUAUACAAAAAUGUAUAGUGGUGUUUCUUAACAAACAAGAUAUGCCGGUGUUGUUUAUUGUUUGUAGAUAAAUUACUCCCUAUUUGGUGAUUCUAUUUUUAGAGGAUUAUAUAGAUUUGUAUGUAAAUUUGAGUUUUCAUUAUAAUAUUGAUUUAUUUAUACGAUCUGCAUUCUUUUAUAAUUCCAUUAAAAGUAUAAUCUAAUUAUACUUAUAUAAAAUGAUAUCUUCUUAAAUAAUUAUAAUCCAAAAAUUGCACUUCAUUUCAAAUAAUUCAAUAUCGGAACUUGUUCUUUCAUGGCUCAACAACUUUAUAAAUGUGAACAGAAAUGAAUUAUUUCUCAAUUUCUCUAAUUAAAUAAAAUUAAUUAUUUCAACAGAAAUGAACCAAUGUUAUAAAUGUUGGACCACACGCUUCUAUUAUUUAUCAAUUUGUCCAUUCUUCAUGACAAUACGUUGCUCUCAAUCGGUCUAUAACCACACACGUCCAUUUUUUGUUUCCUAGAAACUUAUUAUUUUAUUUGUAUGUGAAAUUAAGCUUGUUGGUAAUUAUGUUCACAACGAAAGGCUUGAUAAGAGCUCGUAAUUAUAAUGUAAUACAUACCCACGCCUCUGGCACGAACGUAGUACUCUUGAUUAACUAAUUUAGAAAUUAGAAGCAACCUCCUUGACUAAUUAUAGUGUGGAUUACUCCAUAUAAUGGAGAUCAAUACUACCCGCAGUCAUUUGUUUUAAGAUCAACUAGUUGAGAAGCCGCGCGUUGCGGCGGCCAAUAAAAAUUAUAUUAAUGAUUCAAUAUUAAUAUUUAUAGAAUAAAAUAUUUUUUGGCUGUCUAUAAAAAGUAUAUUAAUGUUUCAAAGUUAAUAUUUGUACAAUAAAAUAAAUUUAUAUUAUAAAAAUCUUGAUAUAAUACCAAUACUAAUAUAUAAAAUUGCAAAAUUGGACUAUAGUUCAUGGUGAAAAAAUGAAAAAUAAAUUUAUACACGUAAUUAACAAUUUAAAGAAUGACGAAUCUUAAUUAUUUUUUUUUGAAAAGUAAUCAUGUUCUUGCAUUGUCACCUUCCUCCAAUUUUUUUAAUUGAUGGAGUAGCCUCCAAAGCGUUGUCGGACGCCUCCGUGUCGCCUUUGAGGAGUAUGGGGGCUCACCGCUGACAAAUCCGUUUGGUUCAUCGGUGGUGUGGUUGUAUCUAGAGGAGGUUAAAGUUUCUCAGGCUAAAGCUCGGGGUCUAAGUUAUAAAUGCUGAUCGAAAUGAAAGAAAAGAAUAUGGCUACAUAAUUAAUUUAAGCCACGUGAUGAAAUUGAAAACCUUAAAAAUGAAAUGAGGUUUCGUCAAAUCAAAAUCUUUCAUGAUUUUCGAUAGAAUCACCCCCUCGCUCAGGCCCCGAGAGCUCCAAGAAUAUUGUUUGUUACUUUUUCUUCACAAAUUCGAGAAUGGGCAAAUCGCAUGAGAUCUCGGUACAAAUUGUACAACCCGCAUCUUUGUGCAAGUACAAUGACAAGGUCCGAUCAAAAUUUCCUCUCAGAAGAUGAAUAGUUCCCUUUCGAAGCAUGGAAUGGACCCUAGAUGAGAGAUCGAGUUCAUAAUUUAUAUUUAUAUUUUAAUAUUUUUUGGCAACUCAGCUGCAAAUAUUAAACUUGAUGCAGCUUACCGGAUCUAGGAACUACUUGCGCAGAUUCGGUAGUACUCUCAAACAGGGGCACUUACCAAUAAAGAAUAUUAUACAAAAAUGUAUAGUGGUGUUUCUUAACAAACAAGAUAUGCCGGUGUUGUUUAUUGUUUGUAGAUAAAUUACUCCCUAUUUGGUGAUUCUAUUUUUAGAGGAUUAUAUAGAUUUGUAUGUAAAUUUGAGUUUUCAUUAUAAUAUUGAUUUAUUUAUACGAUCUGCAUUCUUUUAUAAUUCCAUUAAAAGUAUAAUCUAAUUAUACUUAUAUAAAAUGAUAUCUUCUUAAAUAAUUAUAAUCCAAAAAUUGCACUUCAUUUCAAAUAAUUCAAUAUCGGAACUUGUUCUUUCAUGGCUCAACAACUUUAUAAAUGUGAACAGAAAUGAAUUAUUUCUCAAUUUCUCUAAUUAAAUAAAAUUAAUUAUUUCAACAGAAAUGAACCAAUGUUAUAAAUGUUGGACCACACGCUUCUAUUAUUUAUCAAUUUGUCCAUUCUUCAUGACAAUACGUUGCUCUCAAUCGGUCUAUAACCACACACGUCCAUUUUUUGUUUCCUAGAAACUUAUUAUUUUAUUUGUAUGUGAAAUUAAGCUUGUUGGUAAUUAUGUUCACAACGAAAGGCUUGAUAAGAGCUCGUAAUUAUAAUGUAAUACAUACCCACGCCUCUGGCACGAACGUAGUACUCUUGAUUAACUAAUUUAGAAAUUAGAAGCAACCUCCUUGACUAAUUAUAGUGUGGAUUACUCCAUAUAAUGGAGAUCAAUACUACCCGCAGUCAUUUGUUUUAAGAUCAACUAGUUGAGAAGCCGCGCGUUGCGGCGGCCAAUAAAAAUUAUAUUAAUGAUUCAAUAUUAAUAUUUAUAGAAUAAAAUAUUUUUUGGCUGUCUAUAAAAAGUAUAUUAAUGUUUCAAAGUUAAUAUUUGUACAAUAAAAUAAAUUUAUAUUAUAAAAAUCUUGAUAUAAUACCAAUACUAAUAUAUAAAAUUGCAAAAUUGGACUAUAGUUCAUGGUGAAAAAAUGAAAAAUAAAUUUAUACACGUAAUUAACAAUUUAAAGAAUGACGAAUCUUAAUUAUUUUUUUUUGAAAAGUAAUCAUGUUCUUGCAUUGUCACCUUCCUCCAAUUUUUUUAAUUGAUUGUGCACAAAAACAUCUAACUUAAAUCUGUGAGAUAGCGGUCUAUAACUCCCUUCUUAAAACUUGCUUGAACGGAGCAAACAGAUAAUGCAUGAAUAAUUUUUUCCCGUAUACAAAGUAAAUCAUAUAAAAAUUAACGACAACAAACAUGUCUGAUGAACAAAACAUAUAUUAUAAAAGAAUAACCAACAAACAUACAUCACUAAUAGUUUAUUUUGUUGAUAUCAACCAUCAAUAUCACGUCAAGACUAUAUUCUUUUCCGUGUUUGGAUUUGUGGACUCCGAUAUAACGGUCUAUAACUACCUUUGUUUGCAACAAUCUUUGUUUUUUUAAUACUGUAUAAACAGCCUUCACUUAUCGUUGCAGAAGAAUCGAGCAAGAGAAAGAUAAUUCUAAUUUUUGAUAUUUUUUAUCCAAAAAUUUCAGAAAAUUAGAAAAAUAGAACGGAGCGAUGUGAGAGGCGCCACCUACACGCCCCCUCGCUUCUCCUUUAAAAAUCGAGAUCGAGUAAGAGAACUAUUACCAGAAAGAGGUAGGUUUGUGGUAUUGAGAGAGGAGGUUGUGUUUAGAUGAUCCAAAACCCUACGAUCUAUACGGGUAUUUAUAGGUGCAGAGAGACUUGUUUGCUACUCUUUUCCAUAAUUAAAUAAUCUGAACAAAAUCAGAAUAAAAUUUUCAAGUUACUGUAUUCCAUAAAUAAUCUAUAUUUCCCAUAAUUAAAUAAUCCGAAACAAAAUCAGAUUAAAACUUUCAAGCUACUAUAUUCCAUAAAUAAUCUGAAACAAAAUCAGAUUCUGAAACUUGCUUCUAAUAUACCCGAAACUAAAAAAGGUAGUUCUAAUUUUUGAUAUUUUUCAUCCAGAAAUUUCAGAAAAUUAGAAAAAUAGAACGGAGCGAUGUGAGAGGCGCCACCUAGACGCCCCUCGCUUCUCCUUUAUAUAAAUAUAUUGACUUAGCGUAAGAUACUAAAAUACAAAUUAUUUGAAUUAUUGAGUAUAAUAAAAUAACCAUCAAUUUUCAAUUUAUCUAGAUAUUUAAUAUUUACUUUUUAUAUGGAAGAAAGGUAAAAAGAAAACUAUAUACUUUUUUCUGGUUUUUGUGAAUUAUGAUGAAAGUAGACUAAAAACAUAGCGCAUAUGCCAAGACAUAUGGAUUAAGACUGGAUACAAGCAGAAUUAGGGGUGAUCGCGGUGCGGGCGGUGCGGUUUUUCGCUAAAACCGCGAACCAAACCGCGCAUGCGGUUUGGUUGAAAACUCAAACCGCAACCGCACCACGUUAGCAUAAAAACCACGUAAACCGCAUCACAAAAAUGCGGUGUGGUGCGGUUUGUGCGGUUUGUAUGCUUAAGAAUAAAUAUUUUUAGUUGAAGUUCGAAAUAAAAUUUAAAUGUACAAUAAUUAAAAUCUUUUCUUGUAAAAAAUUUAUAUGAUAUUUAUCAUUUUAAAACUACAUCAACUACUAAAAAACACAAACAAAAGUGUAAAUAUGAUAAUAAAUAUGAGCACUAAAUACAAAGAGACAUAUUAUAAUAAUAUAAUCAUUUCAUAAAAAUUUGGUAUAAUAGUAAUGCGAGAUUGAUAAAUUAAUAUUUAACUAUUAUUUGAAGAGAUUUAACAAAUAUAUAUAACAUAAUUAUAAAUAAUAUAUAUGUAUAUAAUAUAAUUUUAUUUGACAAUCACUAAUAUAUAUAUAUUAUAAUAUCGUGGUGCGGUGCGGUUUGAACCGCACUACUAAUAUGUUAAACCGCAACCCGCACCACACCGCGCGGUUUGUGAAAAAUUCAAAACGCAACCGCACCACGAAAAUUAAAAACCACGUUUUGUGGUGCGGUUCGGUGCGGUGUGGGCGGUUUAUGCGGUUUGGGCGGUUUUCUGAUCACCCCUAAGCAGAAUAAUAACAUGACUGAUGAAAAUUGAAAAAGCAAACUUUCCCUUUUCCUAAUGGCUACUAAUUAUCAUGGAAUAAAGUAAGAUUCCAGCCAACCAAACAGAAAAAAUUAGGUUUCUAUCACUUGAGUAUCUACUUGGCCGAUAUAUUAGUUAGUACAACCGACCCGAACUAAAUACCGGCAUGCUGCCAAAUAGAUCAGGGUAACCUUUAAUAUGACAUACAACCGUAACUAAUAAUUUUCUUAUGCCGCAUAAUUAAUUUUCAUAAGCGGCAUCAUAUCCCAUCCAGGACUGGCGCUAUCGGGAUUAAACACCCGGCUUCUAUAAUUUUUUAUAUUAUGAUUUGAAAUAUUUUAUAUUUGAACUCCUGGCAAUAUUUUUGCUCAUUUCAAAAUUAUUUUUCCAGUUAUAUAAAAUUUUUACACAAAUAAAGUCAGCCUCUUGAUGGAUUUCUGGGUGACCGCCUGCAAUUUGAAUAAAUUACAGUGUAGACAUAAUAGUAAGAGCGAAUCCAAUGGAGGUGCUAAAGUAGGUGCUACUGCUAUUGUAAAGCACCCAAGCACAAAACUCAAACUCCAAUGGGAUGCUAAACUUGAAUGUAAAAUAACAAAAUGCUAUACUUGGUUCUAAAUAUAGUUACAAGUAUAGAUGGUGCUAUAAUUGUCACAUAAGCAUGCAAGUGACAAAAUACAUUAAUAAAGUAAUAGUGACAAAUACAAUUAUGUGCUUUAAGAUUAUAUAUUGAGAAUAUAGCUUUAUUUGGAUAUGUUUGGUUCUAUUUUACACUUACCAUUGGACCGUAAGUUCUGUUUUAGCAUCAAAAAUCACUUUUUGGUUUCAAAUUAUAAAAAUAGCUACAUCUAUUUUAACAUCACCAUUGGACUUGCUCUAACCAAGUAAUGAAAUACUCCCUCCGUCCCAAAUUAAAUGUCCUGUUUGACUUUUUUCUGGUCAAUUUGACCCAAUUUUAACUGAAAUUUUAAAAUUAUUCUUUUAUAAUUUUACAAAACUGAAAAAUAUAUUUUAAAUUAGAUUUGAUAAUCUUUUCAAUGAAAUAUUUUUCAUAAUUUUAUUCAAUUAUUUAAUAUACAAAUUUUUCAGUCAAAGUUAAGUCAAAUUGACCAAAAAAAAUCAAACAUGACAGUUAAUUUGUGACGGAGGGAGCAGUAAUUAUUUUAGUCGAUUAAUUGUCAAAUAGGGAACCAAAAUCCAAAAUGUAGAAUAUGUACACAUCACUACGAUAUGAAAGUGAUGCAAUGUACGACUAGUUGAAUACUCCCUCCGUCCCGGUCAAUAGUAUACAUUAGGGGAUGGGGGCGCGGCACGGACUUUAAUGCUUCAAUAUAGUAUAGUUCUGUAAAUUAUUUUUAAAAUUUUCUUUUUUUGUAUAAAAAUAUAACAUUUAUAUUUUUAUACAAAAAAAGAAAAUUUUAAAAAUAAGUUGUAGAACUAUGUUUUAUAAGAACCUUAAAAAGCGUGUCGAGCAGUGAAAAAGAAACGUAUACAAUUGACUGGGACAGAGGGAGUACUAUCAGUUACAAGUAGGAUGUCAUCAUUUUCUCUUAACCUGACAACAGAUUGUACACCAUGAACUGUAUAAACUUCUCUCAAACCUCCUCUUUUUGUUAACUUGACGCAACUAAAGUGUUACACAAGAUUGUUUGUAUCUAUGGAUGAUCAAGGUAAAUGGUAAGACACUCCACUUGUUUAUGUUAAAUAAAGGAGUAAAUGACACUUUGCACCCAUUAUAUUUUGGACUUUUUGCAGACCGGUCCCCUUCUAUUAAAUCUUGCAUUUCACACCCGUUAUCUUUUUUGACGUGUCGAAAUGCACUUAAAUGCUAACAGCCGUUUAAAAUCGCCGUUAAUUUUAACUAACGCAAGCAAGGACAAUGAUGUAAUUACGCCAGCUACCCUUCAUUUUCCCCUUUUAUGUUACACCACCAAACCAUGCUUCGCUCCAGUGCAGUAGUGAAUUAGUGAUGUUAAUAUGGGUGGUUUUUAUUUGCAAAAGCCGUGGGUUCUAUUUUGCAUAGAAUAUUUUAUCAAAAAAAUAACUAUUUUAAUAUACAUUAUAUAUUUAUAAAAUUACUAAUAUAAAAAAAAAGUUUAAUGUUUUAUAGUAUAUAAAACUAGUGUUUGUUAACUAAUUAUUCUAAUAUUUAAAAUAUUACAACUAUAUCUUUAAAUAUAAUUAUUUAUUUUAUUUUCACUUGUAUUAAAUAAUAUAAUUAAUUUUUUAUUAAUAAUUCAUUAACAAUCAUUUUCGUAAAGAUAGCUGUUGAAAUUUAAAAAUAAAAAUAAUAACUAUUUUUCAAAUAUAGCUAAUCAUUGUAACUAAUACCAUUAAAACAAAAUGUCUUGCAGUUUCAGUAUAUUUUAGAUAAUAUAUAUAUUAUACUAUUUUCAUAAAUUAAAAUAAUAAUAUUAUUUUAAUUAAUUAGAAUAUAAUAUAUAUUUAUAUAAAAUGUUUAUUUGACUGAAUUUGUAAGAAAUUUAUUUAUGAAUAAACUGUUUAUUUGACUGAAUUUAUAAGAAAGCUAUAUUCAAAAUUAUGUUAUUUCCAAAUGCUAACAAUUACAUUUUUAAAUAAUAAUUAUUUCCCGAAUUUAAUCAAAUGAAGUUUUUAUACAAGAAAAGGGUUGUAAAUAAAUUAAUAUUAAUUAAAAAUUUAUUUUUUUGUAUAACACAAUUAAAAUAAAAUAUAUAAUUAAUAAAAUCUAUUUAGUAAUAUUAUUAUUAUCUCAAAUACGAUAAAAUAUUAUUAUAUGUGGCGUAUAUAUGAGUGUACAUGAAGAGCUGUUCAAUAACCUCUUCAAUUACUGCUUUGUCCUUGUAUCUACUGAUCUUAACGAUAGAUUUAGACGGCCGUUAUGAUUUAAGUGCAUUUCGACGCUUCAAAAAAGAUAGCGGGUGUGAAAUGCAAGAUUUAAUAGAAGAGUAUCGGUCUGCAAAAAGUCCAAAACAUAAUGGAUGCAAAGUGACAUUUACUCUAAAUAAAGAUAUCAAUUGUAGAGCUUAUAAUUAGUACUCCCCCGUCUCUAAAUACUUUUCUUGUUUGUCUUUAUCACGUUUGCCAAUACACACUUUUGAUCAUUAAUAUCAUUGAUUUUAUAUUAGUAUUAAAUAUAAAAACUUCACCGUAUUAAAGUACUCAUAAAUACGAACCCAACAAAAUCACUCAUGACUAUAUUUUAUCUUAUAGAUUAAACGUAAAUUAGUAAUUUGUCUCGUGUUAUAAAUAGUGUCAAUAUUUCAAUGACAAUAUUUUUAGAGACGGAGGGAGCAGAUAAAACUACAUACACCAGUCAGAAUAUCAAACAGGCUUGAGCAUGCAUGAUAUAUCUCACUCGUAUCGUAGUUUUAGAGUAAGGUCCGCGGAAGCUGGAAGUUGUAAUUCGUAAAUAAGAUCUCCGAUUUCACCCGAAUAAAAUCACUUGGUCUUAGAAGGAAACAUUGUUGCUGUGGAUAUCUCAGCCUUGGUUCCAUUUAAAGGCAAGUUUAACACCUUAAUUUCUUCAACUGUGGUAUACAUUAAUAAAAAUCACAGAUCUUACAUAUAGCAAGAUAAAAUAGAUAUGAUUGUAUCUAUAGUACUCCAUAAAAACACACAUUACAAUCUCAUCUCGCAUAACACUCUCCAACUGCACAUAAGCUGAGCAUCAAAAUAAAAAGUCUCAGAAUAGCAAUGAAAUGUAAAGAUUAUUCUUAAAGCAAACCAAUCUAUAGAUCUGAACUUGGGCAUAUUUAUCCAAAAUUAUGAGUGAGCUAAAUAAUGAUUCAAAUUUGAGACGAACGACAGUACGACUAUGUUGAUUUAUAUAAAAUAAUGAUUUUAUUAUUUGAAUAUUUUUACUUAUCAUAUUUAAUUUUUUUAGUUACUUAAAUAAUAACAAUAAUAUGUAAUCAGCAAUUAAUAAAAUUGAAUUAUUGAAUAAAGCUUAAUUAUAAUGAUGAGAAACAUCAAUUUUGCUUUGAUAUGAUAAAAUAUUUAUUUAUCCUCGAAAAUAAUUAAAAUAUUGUCCAUUCCAUUCUUGUCUUCAUCUUCAUUUCCUCGAUUUAAAAUAUCUUUGUUUCUUAAGUCGUUAGCAAUGAAUAUUCAAUUUUAAAUAAAAAUCAGAAUGAAAUUAAAGAAUACGAGAAUAACUAAGUAUAUGAUAAUGAAUACAACAAGAAGAAUAUAAAAGAUAAUUUAUUUUUCAACUGAAAUUUGUGUUAUCAUUCUAUGUCACAAAAAUAACUAAUGCAAAUAUAAAAUAUGAUUUGAGUUCCCAAUUUAUUUGACUAGACCAAACUCCUCCAUAAUAUUGUGACUUGUGACGCAGAAUUUAGAUCACGACACCCACAGCUUUCUUUAAGACACCAAACAAUAUCACACGUGACUUGUGACGCAGAAUUUAGAUCACGACACCCACAGCUUUCUUUAAGACACCAAACAAUAUCACACGUAACCUUGUUUGACCGACGAUAUUGUACACGACACGGUUGAACGGCAUGAAAACAACAUGAAAAUGUCGUAUUUGUGUUUAUGUAUUUGUUACACGACACGAAAAUAUGCAUACACAAAAAUAUACGAGUUAAUUUCAUGUCGGUUUUGGGCUUACUUAUCGAGUACAUGAUACAAUUAAUUAAUUAUGAUGAUAGAUAAUUAAUAAUAAAUAGUAAUAACAUGAUUUAUCAUAUGUAAUUUUAUUAUAAUAAUAGUUUUUAUAAAUAACAAAGAUAUAAUAUCAUACUAUAUAAAAUUUAAUUAAAUAUCAAUUUUUAAAAUAUUAAAAUGUAAUUUCGUAUUCUAUUUUUCGUUUUGUGUACAUUUAGUUAUUGUAUCUUUCAUUUCGUGCAUAUUUCGUGUACUUUUCCUGCAUAUUUCGUGUAUUUUUCGUGUUCAAUUUGUGUCGUGUAAUUUUAAACACACAAAAAUUUCGUGUACUUCUUGUCAUGUCGUGUUAUUUCGUUCGUGUUGUGUUCGUAUUUAGAUUUCAGAUACACGAAUUUAUUGCAUAUUGUGUUUUUGUUGACACCAAAUACACGACACAAAAAAUAUUACGUGACGUGUUGUUUCUGAUACCAGGUACACGACACAAAAAAUACAUGAUACGAUAAGAACGGCCAGGUCUAAACCCCGCUAACAAAUACAUUAAACAACUUCGUCUAUAUAUACCACCCACAUGUACAUAUUUUAUAUUUCACACUCUUAACUUUUCACAAGCAGCUACCAAAAAUUCCUCCCUCUCAUUGUCUCAUUUUUAUCUCCCAAAGCAUAGCUAAGAAAAAUAUCCAUCUCUCUUGUCGUCAAAAGAAUGUCAGCUGCCGUUGCUGCUGCUUCAGCAGCCGCCAACCGUCGCAACUCCGCCACCACCACAGCGAAAAAGACCAACUACACUACUCCCAACAAUUAUUACCUAUCGCUCUCAGCAUCACCACCGUGCAACAACCGCUACGAGAUUUAUAAAUGCCAGGACUGGAACAAAUUCCUACACUACUUGAAGAAUUACAGCCAAGGCCGCGGCCAGCCUCCUUUGUCUGUGCGUCGGUGCAGCGGGUCCCAUGUGCUUGGAUUUCUCAAGUACCUGGACCAGUUCGGUGGAACCAAAGUUCAUAAGAUGAGUUGUGAGUAUUAUGGACAAGCUUAUUCCUCGGUCGCAUGUUCUUGUCCGCUCAAGGAGGCGUGGAGCAGCCUCCAAGGCGUUGUCGGACGCCUUCGUGUCGCCUUUGAGG